CAAGAAAAUAGUCGCCAGAGACAAGAAUCGCAUCGUCUACCGAUGGAUCAUCAACGAAUCACGGAAGAGCUUCAGAGUCGUGUCAUGCAACUUGAGUCGGGUUUGCUUAUUAAGCGCAAUGAAAUUGAAGAAGAAAAACAGGUAAAUGAGGACUCUCUUAAACAAAAAGCAGACACGAUGGCGAAAGUUGAUGAAAGCGAAGAAAAGUAUAAAGUUUUGGAAGAGAAAUUUGAGAAAUUGAAAGAUGUAUAUGG